rnacentral:lncRNA from 1 species
GAGCUAUAGCGCCCUGCCUGUUCUGGGCUUCUUGCAGAGCCUCUUCAGCUGCAGAGAAGCAGCUCUCCUUUCUCCAAGUCCAGAGCCAACAGGACGAAUAAUGAAGCUGUUGGGAAGAUUUACUGAUAAUACAUGUAAAGGGUCUAGCACAUUUUAGGAGCUCAAGGUUGGUGCCUUCCCUUUUUCUUUACUCUGAACCGGAUAUGAGGCCUUGAGAAAGAAGAGAGGCGCUUGCAAAACGAGGAGGAGAAAAGGUUCCCUCGAAGGACGUCUUUGCUUGCGCGUUCACGGAGCCUUGAGAACGAGUGGCCGAGGGGACCCCUGCGGCCCUGCGCGCCUAAGGGAGGACCUGACUCCUUUCAGAAUUAGCAUUUCUUCCCCUUCGUGGGUGCUCUUGAGUUCCAAAGAAAAGGAAGAGAAGCCUUCAUUGAGCAGCUUCUUCUGCCUUAGGGACUGUGCUAGGGGGUAGAUCGACCUUAGGGGAAACAAUCCCCGCUUAUUAGAGGAGGUUUUGGAUCAGGGUUUGCUUUAUUUGAAAUUUAACAAAUACAGAAAAGCAGAAGGAAGAAAAUUGAAGUAAUCCAUGUUUCCACUGGGCG